rnacentral:rRNA from 1 species
AACGAACGCUGGCGGCAUGCCUAACACAUGCAAGUCGAACGAGACCUUCGGGUCUAGUGGCGCACGGGUGCGUAACGCGUGGGAACCUGCCCUUAGGUUCGGAAUAACUCCCCGAAAGGGGUGCUAAUACCGGAUAAUGUCUUCGGACCAAAGAUUUAUCGCCUUUGUAUGGGCCCGCGUUGGAUUAGCUAGUUGGUAGGGUAAAAGCCUACCAAGGCGACGAUCCAUAGCUGGUCUGAGAGGAUGAUCAGCCACACUGGGACUGAGACACGGCCCAGACUCCUACGGGAGGCAGCAGUGGGGAAUAUUGGACAAUGGGCGAAAGCCUGAUCCAGCAAUGCCGCGUGAGUGAUGAAGGCCUUAGGGUUGUAAAGCUCUUUUAACCGGGAUGAUAAUGACAGUACCGGGAGAAUAAGCUCCGGCUAACUCCGUG